AGACAGUAUAUGAGAGUGCAGAUUAAGGGAGAUACAUAGGAGGAUGCAACGUAAAGGUGUAUACAUGAAAUGGAAAUGAAAUAGAAGAUUUUAGAAAGUUCAUUAAAAAAAAUGUUUGAGGCUGAAGCUGAAAAAAGUUAUAGAAGACCCUGGGAGCAGUGUAACUGGUUGGUCAUGGCUGGGGAAUGAUCUUGUAGAUGUGAAGAUGACUUCAGCAAUACAAACCAAGGGGCUCCGAGUGGCGUCCAGUGCAUGUGGUUACAGAAGGGACGAUCAAUAUGCUCUGUAGACAGGUA